UCCAACCAUAAUAAGGGCCAGCCUGGGGCUUGUUAGGUUUUCUUCUCUAUAAAAGCUAUAUCCCCAUGCGUUGGAAACCCUAGUUCAUUAUCCGCAGCUUCCGUUCCCUGGGAACGAUUAGCGUUUUCGAGGCGAGGGAGGGAGGGAACGUCUGUUUUUGUGCAUCAUGAGAGCCAAGUGGAAGAAGAAGCGUAUGAGGAGGCUGAAGAGGAAGCGCAGAAAGAUGAGGCAGAGAUCUAAGUAGUUCUCUCAAACAAAUCUCGUAGUUUUGUGUUCUCCCGUUUUUUUCUUCGUUGGUUUGCUGUCAAAUGGAGUAACCAGGAGAGAUUAGUGCUAGAACUACUGGUGCCUCACUGGUUUCUUUUUCACUUACUUAUUUGGAUCUUAGUUGAAUGUUGUUUUGUCUCCGAAUUAAGAGGUUUUAGAAUAUUCGUUGUUCCGGUUC